UACGGGGGGGGCAAGCGUUGUUCGGAAUUACUGGGCGUAAAGGGCUCGUAGGUGGCCAACUAAGUCAGACGUGAAAUCCCUCGGCUCAACCGGGGAACUGCAUCUGAUACUGGAUGGCUUGAGAUUGGGAGAGGGAUGCGGAAUUCCAGGUGUAGCGGUGAAAUGCGUAGAUAUCGGAGGAACACCGGUGGCGAAGGCGGCAUCCUGGACCACACUGACGCUGAGGAGCGAAAGCCAGGGGAGCAAACGGG
rnacentral:rRNA from 1 species